rnacentral:rRNA from 1 species
AGAGUUUGAUCCUGGCUCACAUUGAACGCUGGCGGCAGGCCUAACACAUGCAAGUCGAGCGGCAGCGGGAAAGUACCUUGCUACUUUUGCCGGCGAGCGGCGGACGGGUGAGUAAUGCCUGGGAAAUUGCCCAGUCGAGGGGGAUAACAGUUGGAAACGACUGCUAAUACCGCAUACGCCCUACGGGGGAAAGCAGGGGACCUUCGGGCCUUGCGCGAUUGGAUAUGCCCAGGUGGGAUUAGCUUGUUGGUGAGGUAAUGGCUCACCAAGGCGACGAUCCCUAGCUGGUCUGAGAGGAUGAUCAGCCACACUGGAACUGAGACACGGUCCAGACUCCUACGGGAGGCAGCAGUGGGGAAUAUUGCACAAUGGGGGAAACCCUGAUGCAUCCAUGCCGCGUGUGUGAAGAAGGCCUUCGGGUUGUAAAGCACUUUCAGCGAGGAGGAAAGGUUGGUAGCUAAUAACUGCCAACUGUGACGUUACUCGCAGAAGAAGCACCGGCUAACUCCGUGCCAGCAGCCGCGGUAAUACGG